UUAAGCGACUAAGCGUACACGGUGGAUGCCCUGGCAGUCAGAGGCGAUGAAGGACGUGCUAAUCUGCGAUAAGCGUCGGUAAGGUGAUAUGAACCGUUAUAACCGGCGAUUUCCGAAUGGGGAAACCCAGUGUGAUCCGUCACACUAUCAUUAACUGAAUCCAUAGGUUAAUGAGGCGAACCGGGGGAACUGAAACAUCUAAGUACCCCGAGGAAAAGAAAUCAACCGAGAUUCCCCCAGUAGCGGCGAGCGAACGGGGAGGAGCCCAGAGCCUGAAUCAGUAUGUGUGUUAGUGGAAGCGUCUGGAAAGGCGUGCGAUACAGGGUGACAGCCCCGUACACAAAAAUGCACAUGCUGUGAGCUCGAUGAGUAGGGCGGGACACGUGGUAUCCUGUCUGAAUAUGGGGGGACCAUCCUCCAAGGCUAAAUACUCCUGACUGACCGAUAGUGAACCAGUACCGUGAGGGAAAGGCGAAAAGAACCCCGGCGAGGGGAGUGAAAAAGAACCUGAAACCGUGUACGUACAAGCAGUGGGAGCCUCUUUAAUGGGGUGACUGCGUACCUUUUGUAUAAUGGGUCAGCGACUUAUAUUCUGUAGCAAGGUUAACCGAAUAGGGGAGCCGAAGGGAAACCGAGUCUUAACUGGGCGUUAAGUUGCAGGGUAUAGACCCGAAACCCGGUGAUCUAGCCAUGGGCAGGUUGAAGGUUGGGUAACACUAACUGGAGGACCGAACCGACUAAUGUUGAAAAAUUAGCGGAUGACUUGUGGCUGGGGGGGAAAGGCCAAUCAAACCGGGAGAUAGCUGGUUCUCCCCGAAAGCUAUUUAGGUAGCGCCUCGUGAAUUCAUCUCCGGGGGUAGAGCACUGUUUCGGCAAGGGGGUCAUCCCGACUUACCAACCCGAUGCAAACUGCGAAUACCGGAGAAUGUUAUCACGGGAGACACACGGCGGGUGCUAACGUCCGUCGUGAAGAGGGAAACAACCCAGACCGCCAGCUAAGGUCCCAAAGUCAUGGUUAAGUGGGAAACGAUGUGGGAAGGCCCAGACAGCCAGGAUGUUGGCUUAGAAGCAGCCAUCAUUUAAAGAAAGCGUAAUAGCUCACUGGUCGAGUCGGCCUGCGCGGAAGAUGUAACGGGGCUAAACCAUGCACCGAAGCUGCGGCAGCGACACUAUGUGUUGUUGGGUAGGGGAGCGUUCUGUAAGCCGUUGAAGGUGUGCUGUGAGGCAUGCUGGAGGUAUCAGAAGUGCGAAUGCUGACAUAAGUAACGAUAAAGCGGGUGAAAAGCCCGCUCGCCGGAAGACCAAGGGUUCCUGUCCAACGUUAAUCGGGGCAGGGUGAGUCGACCCCUAAGGCGAGGCCGAAAGGCGUAGUCGAUGGGAAACAGGUUAAUAUUCCUGUACUUGGUGUUACUGCGAAGGGGGGACGGAGAAGGCUAUGUUGGCCGGGCGACGGUUGUCCCGGUUUAAGCGUGUAGGCUGAUUUUCCAGGCAAAUCCGGAGAAUCAAGGCUGAGGCGUGAUGACGAGGCACUACGGUGCUGAAGCAACAAAUGCCCUGCUUCCAGGAAAAGCCUCUAAGCAUCAGGUAACAUCAAAUCGUACCCCAAACCGACACAGGUGGUCAGGUAGAGAAUACCAAGGCGCUUGAGAGAACUCGGGUGAAGGAACUAGGCAAAAUGGUGCCGUAACUUCGGGAGAAGGCACGCUGAUAUGUAGGUGAAGCGACUUGCUCGUGGAGCUGAAAUCAGUCGAAGAUACCAGCUGGCUGCAACUGUUUAUUAAAAACACAGCACUGUGCAAACACGAAAGUGGACGUAUACGGUGUGACGCCUGCCCGGUGCCGGAAGGUUAAUUGAUGGGGUCAGCCGCAAGGCGAAGCUCUUGAUCGAAGCCCCGGUAAACGGCGGCCGUAACUAUAACGGUCCUAAGGUAGCGAAAUUCCUUGUCGGGUAAGUUCCGACCUGCACGAAUGGCGUAAUGAUGGCCAGGCUGUCUCCACCCGAGACUCAGUGAAAUUGAACUCGCUGUGAAGAUGCAGUGUACCCGCGGCAAGACGGAAAGACCCCGUGAACCUUUACUAUAGCUUGACACUGAACAUUGAGCCUUGAUGUGUAGGAUAGGUGGGAGGCUUUGAAGUGUGGACGCCAGUCUGCAUGGAGCCGACCUUGAAAUACCACCCUUUAAUGUUUGAUGUUCUAACGUUGACCCGUGAUCCGGGUUGCGGACAGUGUCUGGUGGGUAGUUUGACUGGGGCGGUCUCCUCCUAAAGAGUAACGGAGGAGCACGAAGGUUGGCUAAUCCUGGUCGGACAUCAGGAGGUUAGUGCAAUGGCAUAAGCCAGCUUGACUGCGAGCGUGACGGCGCGAGCAGGUGCGAAAGCAGGUCAUAGUGAUCCGGUGGUUCUGAAUGGAAGGGCCAUCGCUCAACGGAUAAAAGGUACUCCGGGGAUAACAGGCUGAUACCGCCCAAGAGUUCAUAUCGACGGCGGUGUUUGGCACCUCGAUGUCGGCUCAUCACAUCCUGGGGCUGAAGUAGGUCCCAAGGGUAUGGCUGUUCGCCAUUUAAAGUGGUACGCGAGCUGGGUUUAGAACGUCGUGAGACAGUUCGGUCCCUAUCUGCCGUGGGCGCUGGAGAACUGAGGGGGGCUGCUCCUAGUACGAGAGGACCGGAGUGGACGCAUCACUGGUGUUCGGGUUGUCAUGCCAAUGGCACUGCCCGGUAGCUAAAUGCGGAAGAGAUAAGUGCUGAAAGCAUCUAAGCACGAAACUUGCCCCGAGAUGAGUUCUCCCUGAGACUUUAAGUCUCCUGAAGGAACGUUGAAGACGACGACGUUGAUAGGCCGGGUGUGUAAGCGCAGCGAUGCGUUGAGCUAACCGGUACUAAUGAACCGUGAGGCUUAACCUU
rnacentral:rRNA from 1 species